UCGUUUCCAAUAAAUCGUUAA
ensembl:piRNA 21ur-5260 ncRNA